UCCAGGCCUGGCUCAGACGAAGACCCUCAACACUUCCCCACCCUCCCCUCUAGAAGUCUGCAUCCUGGAGCCCCUGGUGGAGAGCUGGACAAAGACUCCGAUGGCUUGGUCAGUUGGGCCCCUUUGCCUGCCUCUGGCACCUUCCGCUGGCCUUAGCAUGCCUCACCCUUUCAUGAGUCCUCAGCCCCAACUUGUUCUGCAUGUCCUCUCCUGUGGCUUUUGCUCCCUCAAUUCCGGAUCCCUCAUCCACCCCACCACUGGCUCCAGGGUGUACGUUCAGAGAUCAGCCAGGUGUCCACAGCCUCACCCUCCCCACAGAGGAGUCCCUCUGCUCCCCAGGGCGCAGCCCUGUCUGAGGACCUCCCUGCCCUGAGCUCCUAAUCCAGGUGACUCCUCACUGCAGGCUUCUGCAGGACCCUCCAUCUGGCUUGACUUGAGAACCCUCUCCCAGGGCUUUUCCACCUCUUCCCUGCCAGCCCAUCAAUCCACUCCUUUAACUGGCACCAGCACCGCGGUGUCCAUGAAGGGGCCCAUACACUGCAAGCCAGCACCCUCCCAGUGUCCACAGGCACUUCUGCUGUGGCCUGCCCAAGGCCAAGUCCAUCCUCCCCACAAACCUGCUGCUCCUGCGUUAUCUCCGUCAACGGUACCUACCCCAGCCACUCAGGCCAGAAAUGGGGCUGUCCUCUCUCCUCUCUCAUCCUCCCUCACUCUCCCUGCUCACCUUCCCCUGCCUCCUAAGGCCUUCUCCUGCUCACCUGUCAGCUCGCCACCAGCCCUCUGCCUGGCCCCAGGUGUGUUUCCCAAACACUGAUCACACCACUCGCAUCCUUCAAACCCUCUGAUGGUCGCCAGCAGGAUGAAGUCCACAUUCCUUGUCUGGCACACAGGCCCUGCUGACUGCCAGCUGGCUGCUCCAGCUGGCCUCCUGCUGUCUCCUUGCCCCUCAACCCCCAGGUCUGACCUUGCACAGCCCGAGCCACAGGGGGGCCCCACUUCCCAGGUGGGGAUGCGCACUGCCUUCUCAGCCACCUAGGCCCCUUCGUGGGGUCCACAUCACCCUGCCAGCAGCUGCCCGCUCAGCACUGCUACUGUCAGUCACUCUGCUUGUCCACAUGCUGAGCACCCGGCAGGCACUGCGGCUCCCCUCCCCCACCUCCUUGAGCAGGUGCAGCUCCUCAUUCAGCAUGCCCUGCCCAUCAGGGCUCUAAGCAUGCAGGAUCCUGCUCAGCGUCAGCUCACAGACCCAUCAGUAGUUCACGCCGAGGAGGAAACAUGGAGCAAUCGCAUGCUGAAAGAGAAUGUCAGCCGAGACAGGAGGAGCUCAGGGAUAGCGGCCGAGAGAAAUGUGCAAGGACAGUAUUUUCUUGAGGAGUUCAAGGAAGACAAACUCUUGGCUAGCUAACCCUUGGGGGCGGCUCCCUGGGGACAUUAGAGUCUAGAGGGUUGGGUCAGGGGCAGGGCAAGGGCCAGGAGGGCGGCAAUGUAGGGCAGAGGCCCUGACUGCAAGAGGAAAGGCCAAGGGCCGCUCACGGGUGAGGGCUUGGGCCUGUCCUGGAGGUGACGGGAACUUUGGCAGGGGCCACAGCUGGGUUUGUGUUUAGGAAGAUGAGUCUAGCAACAGGACCUCCAGGAGAAGGUGUGGGGGUGCCAACAGGUGAAGAAAGCAGAGAGGAAGCUGUUGAGAUGUGCUACAGGGGAGCUAGGAGCAGAUACAGACGGGGCCCAGGGCCAGGGGCAGGAGGCAGCUUGCGGUGCUACAGAGGGAUCCAGCGGGCCAUUCCCACCAACGGAGCUUGGCCUGCCAUCUGCUGCUUCCUACCCAGGGAGGGAGAAGGGGUAGCUUAUGCUCUGACUGGGUGGGGAGUGUGUAGCAGGUGCUCACACUGAUUCCCGAGGCUGAAUGGAGCCCAGCAAUUGUGAGGUCAGCCACGCUGAUUUUUCAGGUGAGGAGGGACACAGCCCACAUCAUCCAGGAGCUGCCUGCUCCCAUCAGCUAGGCCCUGGUGUUCUCCUGCUUAGAAUAUAAACGAUUUCAUACAACACCAGCGUCAGACAAGGCUCCUCUGUGAGUGAGAUGGGUCAAGACAAGAAGAUCCCUCGGUAAACAUGGCUGAACACAGACAAAACAUGCGCUUUGUCCAGACCAUAAAGAAGACCAACAGUGCCCCGUCCUGCCUUCUCUGAGCGGCUGCUGCCUCUUCACAGUUGACAGCUCUAGCUCGCCUCUGGUCUGUCCUCCCUCCAGAGAAGAUGUGUGGAGAUACUGUCACAGAAUUCCUCCCCCUCCUGGCAGCAUCCAGAGCAAAGCCCAGCUUCCUUAAGCCCUUCCCCAUUCACCCAAACAAGCCAAAUGCCAUAGGAAGUCCUUCCUAGCACGCCCUUCCUGUGACUCCAUGUGGCUCCCCAUGGCGUGUGGGCUCCCUCACCACGAUAAGCAGUAAGCCUGACUUGUUCGACUGCAGACGUGUCCAGUGGGCUUCCGCUGGAGAGCGCUGACACAGUAACUAUACUAAGGCUAAAGAAAGUUAAUUCUUCAAUCAAAAAUGUCUAUUCACAUAAGUAAUCAUUAAACCCAUGCUUGUUUUCAAGAUGAAAUGACAAGAAGUGUCCAUGUCUCCAUCACAUUCCCUGCUGUGGAAAGCGUCACUGUCAUCAGUGCCUGUUGAAAACCACAGAGAGAAGCCAGCACAGGACCCCAGCUCGCUUAACACCCAGCGCAAGUGCCCUGUGCCACCUGCCUUCUGGCUAACCAGGGCUACCGUUCAGUGGCUCUGACCUGGAAGUGCCUUCAGAACAGAGACUGUUGCGUUUUAACACACAGGCCAGCACCUAGUCCAGGGACAGCCACACCAUACAUGUCAACCAUGGAAUGAAUGAAUGAACUUUAUCUAACACAAGCCGCACAAGCACCGCCUGUCCCAGGACCAGGGAGAGAGAAUGUGGCAGCCUUCUGGACUUUGGCUCGGCAUCAACAUCAGCGGUGAGGCACUUCAGGAGUGCAGGCGGCAAAACUCAAAGCCCAGGGGAAUGUAUGGAGGCACAUUUGGGGGAAGCAGGUGGAAGAAAGAGAUGCUGCAUGGCAGGGGGUCGGGGGGAGCUGUGGGUGGUGAGGGCAGUGUGGACAGCUGUCGGGGGAAAGUCAAGGAGUAUGAACUCCAUACUGCAGGCAGUGAUGAACCAUGGACCCUUCCAGGGAAGAGCCUGGAAGAGGUUUGAGCACAGGCAGGAAGAUCAGCAAGGACUAUAGUCACGCUGCAGGCAGGAAGGGCCUGCACUGGGGGGCAUUGAGGGGAGCUGGUCCCAGCACUGCAGCUCCCAAGGCAGCCCCUUCCCCAUCGGGGCCCAGACGCUGCAUCCCAGGCAGCAGGAUGGCUCGGCCCCAUCUGCCACCAAAACAUUCUAUGUUUCUCGAAUGUCUUCUUUGUCUCAGGCUUAUCAGGCAUUGGAGACCUUUCAGAAUGUCCAAAAUGCAAACAACCCCCCCCCCCACUACCACCCACACACUGCAACUUCUUGACUCCCAUGCUCACUACGGAAGAGCGUCUCUUGUCCGCAUGGGUGCUCACUCCUCUGGACCCACUUCACAUCAUCCUCAUCUCCUCCCUUGCCAUUGCAACUUCCAGCCUUUCGGCUCCUGUGCAGCAGCCUGUGCCCUCUACUCUCCUCCAUCCCACUUCGGCCUGCUUUCUGCUGUUAUCCAGCAGCUUGCUGGCGCUGGGAGGACUCUAGCGCCAGGCUCCAAAUCCUCCUCUCUACCCCAGUUGCUCUCAUGACCCUUGGGCAUUCAGCUUCUGUCUUCUGAACCCCUCUCACCUCGAUGCCCUUCUCUCGAGUCAAGACCAGGAUCAUGUCUGCAGCAGAUCCCAACUUGUCCUCAGCACUGCAGACAGGGAUGAUGUCACUCCCCUGCUUAAACUCCUUCAGAGGACUUCCAGUCCAGAUGGUGGACCAAACUGACCUGGGAUCCCAGUUCCCACUCUUAAAACAUAAAAUUUCUAGAUAAAAUACUGUUAAACUUAAAAUAUAUAUCCAAGCAGGAAUGCAAGAAAUAAACAUGAAGAGAAACCCUCAGCUGUGAGGGAAGAAUUGCAGCUAUGGCAUUUUAGACAAGUUGUGCUGAGGAAACAAGAAUUAGUGUUCAGGUCCCACGAGGGGAAGGAGCCCUGGCAAGACCCCAGCUCUGGAGGGCUCCACCUGGGAGCGUUAAGGACGGAGCCUUACCAAAAUCACAACCCUUACUCGACUCAGCUCUGCCCUGAUCGUUGAAGGUAAUCAGCCCCACUCUCUCUGCCUGGCAGAGAGCAAGGAGAACUUUUUCCAGAAGAAGAUAACACCAUUCAGAACCUCUGCAGUUUUUUUAAUGCACGUUAUCUAGGCCCUUUAAAAGAUAGGAUUAUAUGACUGAAAACCAAGAGGAAAAAUAAGAUAACAGAAUCAGACCUAGAGGUGACUAAAAGAUUGGAGAUAGCAAAAAAAAAACAAACUUUAAAAUAAAUAUGACUAAUAUGUUAAGGAAAAGGCAGGAGGAAAUGGAGAUACAUGGAAGAUAAUAUGGCGAAUUUCCCAGGAGAAUUGGAUUCUAUAAAAAAGAAACUGAGCAUCUUUAAUGGAAAAAUAAAUUAACUGAAACUAAAAAUUCAGUAGAUGGGUUUAAAAGCAGAUUAGACAAGUCAGAAGAAAGGGUUAGUGAACCAAAAGGUCAAUAGAAGCUGUGCAAACUUACAAAGAGAAAAAGGAAUGGAUAGAGGAAAAAAAAAGCAUAUGAUACGUGACAGGGAAAGUAAAAAAGUAGAGUGCCAGAAGAAAGAUAGAAUGGAGAAGUAAUGUCUGAAGAAAUAAUGCCUGAAAAAUUUUAAAACCUGUAAGACACUGUGAAAAUUAAUAAAGGGAAACCUCAUUUAAAAUAAAGUCAAGAGGCCAGAAAGGAAGCACUCUCACACAGUACCACCUGAGGUCAUUUGCAGGAAAGGUGGUCAAUUACAGACCCCAACAAGAAGAAAUGUACGUUGCAUCCCAAACAGAAAUCAACUACCCCAGCAACUCGGCCAAUGAGAAACCGUCACCACUCUGAAGUCUUGCUUUCCUCCAGUGGACUUUAGUUCAAAACAACCCCUCCCAAUUUCCUCCUUUUUCCCUGUAAAAUCACGUUCUUCUCCUUUGAUUGUUGGACCUGCCUAUGGCUUUUGCCACAGCCUGUGGGUCCUGAACUGCAAUUCCUUGCUUUUUCCUGAAUAAACUCAUUUUGCUGGUAGAAUUGGCUGUUUUAUUUUUCAGGUUGACAUACGUGGUGUCAGAAGUGGGAUCUGAAGGAGGCGACCCUCAAGAGACGAUGGGCCCCAGAAUUGAGCGAGGUACCUGCUCUGGGCCCCUGGAGCUCAUGGCUUCUGUGAGUCACGGCCUACUUUUGGUUUGAAGGGACUAUACCUCACUACCCGUAUGGCAGCCAAUCUUCAGGGACUUGAGCCUUGGUUGCACGUCUCACAGCUAAAGAAGGCUCCACCUGACAUCUGGUCCUUUACAAACACUGGAGACCUCAAGUCAAAUUGACCAGGAGGAGAAGUAGCUGACAUCUGAGGCAGAGAGCUUUCCCAAGACGACCAAACCAGGCCUGUAUAUCCUCUUCCCACUGUUGUUUCUUACUUUAUUUUCUCUCUCCCCUUCCUGGAAGGACGGUGACCUUGUCUGCAUUUCCCAAUCCCUUACAAAAGGGGGAAACCUCUUCUUUCGAUUAUAGGCUUUCAGAAACAGCCUCCUUACGAUCCUGCGACAAAUUAAUCUUUUCGCUUUCUUUUUCUGAAGGGUUAGAAAGUUCAGCAUUCACAGAAGUCUUUCUUUCAUCUGAACUGUUACCUGUCUCUGAGCUCUUAUCCAAAUCCAUGGUCUCUGAAUUUGCAACCCUACAGGCAGUAUUACUGGAUAACGCAUUUGACUCCCAAACAGUUAUUUCGAGAUGACAAUACUGUUUUAAUAUGUCUUUUUGAAUUUUUGCAAGAGUUCAUCAGCUAUUGCUUCAUGUUUAUUCCUGCACUGUCUUCCCAAUGCGCUCAGUUAAUUCUUUCAGUUUGAGUGUGCUCUUACCAUAUUUGCUGUUCUGUUUUCUCUUCAUAACAAAUCAGAAGCCUCUCACUGGUUCACCCCAUUAAGCCUCUAUUUAGCCGGUUACCUUCAGGUUUGGCCUCCUAGUUUGGAACCAUCAGACAAUUUGGAUUUGUCAUGUUACUUUCAAUUCUGUCUUGUAUAAAUACUUUAAGUUUUGUAUUUUAUUGCCUGUCAAACCUUUGUAAACAUGACGUACCUCAUGAGGUGACGUUAGCACAGCAAUCUGAAAUGAUUUCCAAUGCUUAUGACCUUGGAUGACUAUAGACUUUGAAUAAGAAGUGCCUGCGAGUUCUCCCUCCUAACCUUCCUGGUUUCUCAAGUGUGGCCUAAAUGGUUUCCAACCACUAUGCACUCUCCCUCCAACAUGGAUCAUGACGAGAAGGAAAGGUCCUUCCCGGCACCAAGGGACAAGACCACUAAGUGCAGAAAUCCUGACUCUCGAUCAGUGAUACUCUCAGAGAAUGAUCUUGAUCAGAAGGUAGGAAUGUGAAAAUUAAUAAAGGGAAACCCAUUUAAAAUGGAUUCUGGAGGCUGGAAGGAGGAGCUCUCACACAGUACCACUCAAGGUCAAUUACAAGAAAGACAGUCAAUUACAGACCCCACUAGAAAGAAGUCAUCAAUAGGAAGAAUCAUCACUUACAGACACCAACCAGAAGAAGCGUACGUUGUGUCCCAAACAGAAAUCAACUACCCCAGCAACUCAGCCAAUGAGAAACCAUCACCACUCUGAACUCUUGCUUUUCUCCUGUGGACUUUUGUUCAAAACAACCUCUCCCAAUUUCCUCCUUUUUUCCUAUAAAAUGACAUUCUUCUCCUUUGAUCAUUGGCUUUUGCUAUAGAAUGUGGGUCUCAAAUUGCAAUUCUUUGUUUUUUUCCUGAAUAAACUCAUUUUGCUGGUAAAAUAA